rnacentral:rRNA from 1 species
AUUGAACGCUGGCGGCAGGCCUAACACAUGCAAGUCGAACGAGUGGCGGACGGGUGAGUAAUGUCUGGGAAACUGCCCGAUGGAGGGGGAUAAACACUGGAAACGGUAGCUUAUACCGCAUACCAUCGGAUGUGCCCAGAUGGGAUUAGCUAGUAGGUGGGGUAACGGCUCACCUAGGCGACGAUCCCUAGCUGGUCUGAGAGGAAGACCGGCCACACUGGACUUGGGAAAGGGUCCAGACGCCUCCGGGAGGCAGCAGUGGGGAAUAUUGCACAAGGGGCGAAAGCCUGAUGCGGCAAUGCCGGGGGUAUAUAGAAGGCGUUCGGGUGGUAAAGUACGUUCAGCGAGGAGGCGUUACUCGCAGAAGAAGCACCGGCUAACUCCGUGCCAGCCGCCGCGGUAAUAC